GACAUUGUGCAAUGAAAUAGAAAUUCUAAUUUAUUUAUAAUUUAUAAUCUAUAAUCCUUAAGAAAGAGUGGAGCUCAUCCAAUUGUUUCUUGAUUUUUUUUUGUUUUCUAAUAUAGAACACCCCUGUUCAGGCAAAAUCUUACUUUGAAGUGCCCUUACAACCAAAGGUCACAUACAGUUAGCUAUACGUUUGUAUCCGCCAAAACACAUUUAUCAACGAAAAACUAAUGGAUCCCAGCCAUUCCAAUACACACUUCACGUUCGUCCUCCUUGUCGGGCCUUCACUCACAGACAACUGCUACUGUAUUUGAUUCAUAGAAUUCACGCCCUUUUUCGAAUUCAGCCCGAACAUUAUGCUUUCUGCUCUGCCACCCAUCAGAGCUCCGGCCCUCUCCGAGUUCUUCCACUAAAACAGGUUGGUGCUCUUGCGCCUAUCCUCCAAUGGCAGACCUCUCAGGCGUGCGAUCCUGCUUUCAGUCCAUCCUCAUUUGUGCGCCUCCGAAGUGUUUGUGGAAAUGCCUGUGCACCGUUGUCCCCCUUUCCUUGGCGCCCGCACUUUGUCACACCCUUACUGUCUGGCAAUUUCAUAGUUAUGUAGGACAUUGUUUUGUUCCAAUAAAGUUAUUGCUUCCCACCACCCAUUUUCCUCUGCUAUAUUAUGUUGUGAUUUGCAAUCCAAAGCGAAUAAAAAAAAAUCACAAGAUUGCAAGAUGUUUUAAAUUUCAAUAUGCUUGCUUAUUUCUUUUUCGAGCAUCCAUUCUUCCAAAUGGUAAUGAUAAGGAGUUAUCUCCUCCGUUGGCCUCUGGUACAGUCUCUCCAGUCUCAAGCAGCCUGAUGUUUAUUCUAUCAUUUGGGACAUCUAUAUUUUUAGGAACCAAUGUAAAAUCAUAUCUUUUAAAAAAAAAUUGUGAGGAGAGUAGACCUGUUAUUUUAAUGAAUUGAACUUAUCAACAAACUUUUGUAUUUAAACUAUAUUCAAGGGAUAGGAACUCAGCUGCAUCUCACUUGCACUGUUGAUUUCGUUGUCGUUCAUUCCAAAUUCGUUGUUACAUGAUAUUCCUUUCAGGUAAGUAUCAUCAUUGACUUGUGCUUGUUGUGUCAGAGUCCAAAUAAGCCAAUACUUCUUCGGGCUUUGAGAGAAUGUAGCAGUGUAGCACAAUGGAAGAAAAGAUAAGACUUUGUGGGACCAACUUUCUGUUUUUUCGCCUUCAGGAGACCACUACUAUUUCAUAGAAGAGUUUGAGAUUCAACUUAUUGGACCUCACCUGAAUUUAUAUAGCCACUGCAAUACUUUACAAUGAUAUUAUGUGGAGCAGUUUUGAGCCAUGCACUGGGGGUCAUGGCAAUCCCCCUUAAUCAUAGCAUCUUCUUACUUAGUGUUUACUUGUGCAAAGAGAAUCCAAAACUUGUGGGGCUCUCUCUAUUCCAUCUCUCGAGUCUCAAAGGAAACCCUCCACCCCUUCAGACUCCAUCUCUUGUUGACUCUAUAUGUGUGGCCACCUGAUAUCUAUGAGGAUUCACUCACCCCGGAUAUAACAUCCCUUUUUAUUGUGCCUAAAGUAUGUAUGUGCUGACAUUUCACGUGUUUUUAUUAAUGGUUUCUAUGCAGCUAGCCAAUUUACCCUGAAAGGAAAAUGAGAUUUGGUUCUCUCGUGCGAAGGCGUUCUUUUGGUUCGUAAGAAGGAAGAAUGGAUCAUCCUUUGUUUGGCACGAGAUGAUAAAGAGAGAGCUUCGUUUAUCGAGGGAUAGCGGAUUGACAAAGCUCUUGCAACUAGCGGAUUAUCUUGAAAAGAAUGUUACCUUUGUUUCAAAGAGCAGUCAUUGGUUAAGCUUUUCAACUCACAUGUGCUGAGCCUGAAGAAUUGCAGCGAUUAUGGUAGUUGAGGUAAUGAAUUUCAAUUUUAUAUUUUUGCAGCUUGGAAAGACCACUGACUUGUCAAUAAAUAUAUCACAUCCAUCAAUGUUCUUGGAGCCCAUUGCCGUCUCCAGAAGAAAAAUUAAUGGCGUAAGCUUUUCAAUUGUGCUCCAAAUCAAAGACUGCCUCAUGAAUGAGAACUUUGCUUGGAGAGUGUAAUCGACUCAUUUGAAUCUUUUUCUCCCCAUCUAGAUAGAACUUUGAUGCAGACUCUGCAGCGGUUACCAAGCAUCUAUUAAGAGAUUAGAUACCAAAAAUUGGGAAGAACUUGAAUAUAAUUUUUUUAAUACCGGUCAUUCCACAUCCUUCUUGCAUUUACUUGUCUUUUUCUCGAAAGUAAUUUGAGGUUGUUUAUUGAAUUCUACAAAUUACUGCAUGGUUUUCUGGAUGAAUGAUUUUUGAGGUUAUCACCAUUUUCAAGACUCCAGCACUAAAAAAUGCGAUCUCUCUUAAUAUCCUUUCUUAAAUAAAAAAAAUAAAAAAAAUCAGAAGAUGGAAAAUGAUUCAUGUAUAUUAUACUUUGUUGAAGAACAGAGAGUGGGCUUACUUUUUGAUGUUUGCUAGUUCUCCAAUCUCAGGUACUACUCGAUUUCUUGAAGUAGUUGAUUUGAUCCAUAAGUAUAUCUAGGUUUGAUUGAAAGCUCAUAAUUUCAUAGCACAGGUACCAUAGUCAUGAUCCUUCCUUAAAGUGGUUGUUUCCUUUUCUUUGCCUGAGAUAUGAGAUUAUAUUUGAGAUCAAGAACAUUUAGAAUUCUGUGUCAUUCCUAUAAACUUGGAGAUGUUAUUAUUUAUUCGGUAUCUUAAACUCAGAUUUCCUUUUUGUAUUUCUUGUGAUUUAGGUACUGUGAAGCUGAUAUGAGAACCAAACAAACGACUUAUUGAAGACAGCAUGAAAUUUUAUGUCACAGAAAUUUGUUUGGCUAUAUAAGAAUGUAUUAAUAGAUACUUCAUUUAACUCUUUGUUCUUUCGUCAAUGGCCAAAAAUAUUUAACGUGAUUUAUUUUUCA